rnacentral:lncRNA from 7 species
AUUCAGAAUACGGAAGCAGAAAGAUCUGCAGGCGGCUGCGUACCCUGGCUGUGAAUUAUUAUUCCGAGCACAUGGCUGUUGUAAAAUUACACUAUCUGCUUAUGUAGGAAGGGAGAAACGCAGUCAUUAUUUAUGUGGCUCAAUGAUCCCGUUUACGUGUGUCCACUGCUCCCUGGCUCUGCGUGCACCGUGCUUAGAGAAGGAGGCUGAAAGAACUCCAAAAGCCUGGAGAAGAGAAGGCUGUGAGGUGACCUGAUAGUGGCCUUUCGGUAUCUAAAUGGGAGCUACAGGAAAGAAGGGAACAGACUCUUUCGCGGGGUCUGUGGUGAUAGAAUAAGGGGAAAUGGCUUCAAGCUUCAAGGGGGUAGAUUUUGGUGGGAUAUAAGGAAAAAAUCUUUUACAGUGGGGGUGGUGAGGCACUAGCAAAGGUUGCCGGAGAUGUGGUUAGUGCUCCAUCCCUGAAGGCUUUCAAGGCAAGGCUGGAUCUGGUCCCUGAUCUAGCUGUGCAUGUUCCUGUUCAUUGCAGGGGAGUUGGACUAGCUGACCUUUAAAGGUCCCUUCCAACUCUAAGGAUUCUGUGAUUCUAUGAUUCUGUGAUACAGGAGUAUCACUUCGUUGGUCAGGGAUUUGAAAAUGAUGGCUCUAUGUCCUGCAAGAUGUGGCAGGCUCUGAGGUACUGAGACAUGACUUCCUAUGCACAGCAUAGUGCAUAAGGUCACUUUUUGUUUAAUGCAUGGACUUGCAGUGUAAGAAACACUCUGGCUGAGACCACUGUUUUGCCUUUUGUGCAAACUCAACCUUUCUGAAGUGCUUUCUCAACUUGCACUCACAAAGGUGGGUGCAGGCACAGCUUGGCUUGGCCUCUCAGAGGUAUCAUCCUAUUGACUCCACACAGAGUGGAUUUCACAGGCACCUUCGACACUAUCUAUCUUUGGUACUAGAACUGAUAAAGGGAGAUUCAAGCCAUCGUAGAGUAUGUACUAUAUAUGCUGCCACCCUGUCCUCUACCUAUUUUCCUACCUACACAUUAACAAACUAACUUACAUUCAUUUCUUCUCUAAAUUUGAGAAAAUUGUGGAUGAAAUCACAUGGUAUAGUGAACAGAAUGUGGUUUGAUGUGGGAUUUUGCAGCCUGUGGAUGAAUAGUUGUGCUGGCACUGCCGUGCAGUGUGUUCCUGGGCUGGGGGUGAGGUGAUAGCAUGAGGAUCAUGAUUGCUGCACAGCUUCUUUCCCUCAGUGGCUCAAAGGCAGUGCACAGGUAGAAAGAUAAAUGUUUGUGUUUUGUGAGUCUGUUAUGCCCAUGGUGGAUAAAGGGCUGGAUAAAUCCUCCUGGCUGUCUAAUGAAGAAAACAGUGCUUCACUAAUAUUUGCCAAGUCCACCUGGGAGUCAUCAGUAUGCAGCUGUGUCCUCCAUCCUCUCCCUUCAAGCUGGGAUUUAACUACUGCCUUUUCUGCUUUCUACAAACGUUGAUUUUCACUUGUCCAUCGGAUGAAUAUUAACUGGCAGCUGGAAAGCUGCUCCUGGUACACCUGAGCUACUGCCCUGGCUCCCACUUUGCUCAACUGAUGUGUUAUAGGUUUUAAUAAAUGCAAACAGAAAAGAAGGAGGCAACAUGUUUGAACAACCAGUGGUUAUCUUGGAAAUGCUGGGAUGGAUGCCUCUUCUUGCAGGGCAUAGAUUUGGGCAAAAUAUUAAAAAAUUAUUAAGCUGUGUUCUCUGCAUGUUAGAAUAUGCCGAUAUACAUUUUGUAAAUAUAGGUCACCAUUGUUAUUUGAUAUUUACUUUGUAAUGCAGUGGAUCUCCUUAUGUACAAGGUAGUGACAUCAGAAGACAUUUUGAGUCUAAAGGGCAAUAUGUCUGGAAUAAAUAAUAUUUCUUAUUCCAGGAAUUGUUUAUUCUGAGUAACAGGAAUACUUCUGAAUUAUUAUCUUGACAUGAUGCUCUAUGUCACCCAGUCCCUUUUCUGUCAUAUUUCUCUCAUUAACCCUCUUGAGCUGUCCAGCAAUGAUGAGCUUUUUCCAGUAAUAAGAAAUAUGAAUUUGUAUUACCACUGUAUGUGCCUACACUCUGCAGAGAUCCUCUGUAGUUCGUGGCCUCAAUAGAGCAGCACUGUUUUAUCUCUAAAUGUAACAUUUUGUCCAUUUUUCACACAUUGCAUUUUACUUUUCUGCUGCAAGAAGGAUCAAAUGAAAACAACGGAUUUGCUUUCAGAUAUAUGUCCCUGUUUAAAUCAGUUACUCAGGUGAGUAGUGACUUCAGGUACCUUUGUGCCUCUAAACAUUUUUAUGACAAGGUCUGGAUCCCUUCAAUUUCUUAG